AUACGAAAGGUGCAAGCGUUGUUCGGAUUUACUGGGCGUAAAGAGAGUGUAGGUUGUUUAUUAAGUCGGAUGUGAAAUCCCGGGGCUCAACCCCGGAACUGCAUUCGAUACUGAUAGGCUAGAGUUCGGGAGGGGUAAGCGGAAUUCCGUGUGUAGCAGUGAAAUGCGUAGAUAUACGGAGGAACACCUGAGGCGAAGGCGGCUUACUGGACCGAUACUGACACUGAGACUCGAAAGCGUGGGUAGCAAACAGGAUUAGAAACCCCUGUAGUCC
rnacentral:rRNA from 1 species